rnacentral:rRNA from 1 species
AUUGAACGCUGGCGGCAUGCCUUACACAUGCAAGUCGAACGGCAGCACGGGUGCUUGCACCUGGUGGCGAGUGGCGAACGGGUGAGUAAUACAUCGGAACGUACCUUAUCGUGGGGGAUAACGCAGCGAAAGCUGUGCUAAUACCGCAUACGCCCUGAGGGGGAAAGUGGGGGAUCGAAAGACCUCGCGCGAUUAGAGCGGCCGAUGCCUGAUUAGCUUGUUGGUGGGGUAAAAGCCCACCAAGGCGACGAUCAGUAGCUGGUCUGAGAGGACGAUCAGCCACACGAGGACUGAGACACGGCCCAGAAUCCUACGGAGGGCAGCAGUAGGGAAUUUUGGACAACGGGGGCAACCCUGAUCCAGCAAUGCCGCGUGGGUGAAGAAGGCCUUCGGGUUGUAAAGCUCUUUUGUCAGGGAAGAAACACCGGCUCUAACACAGUCCGGGAAUGACGGUACCUGAAGAAUAAGCACCGGCUAACUACGUGCCAGCAGCCGCCGUAA